rnacentral:rRNA from 1 species
GCAAGUCGAGCGCGAAAGCCUUUCGGGGUGAGUAGAGCGGCGAACGGGUGAGUAACGCGUGGGUAAUCUGCCCCUUGGUGGGGAAUAACUUCGGGAAACUGUGGCUAAUGCCGCAUGAGCUCUCGGCGUCUUCGGAUACCAAGAGGAAAGCAUGCCUCUGAUUUAAGCAUGCGCCAGGGGAGGAGCCCGCGUCCCAUUAGCUUGUUGGUGAGGUAACGGCUCACCAAGGCGACGAUGGGUAGCCGGCCUGAGAGGGUGAAC